CACGUAGGGGGCAAGCGUUGUCCGGAUUUAUUGGGCGUAAAGAGCUCGUAGGCGGCUCAGUAAGUCGGGUGUGAAACCUCCAGGCUCAACCUGGAGACGCCACCCGAUACUGCUGUGGCUUGAGUCCGGUAGGGGAGCGUGGAAUUCCUGGUGUAGCGGUGAAAUGCGCAGAUAUCAGGAGGAACACCGAUGGCGAAGGCAGCUCGCUGGGACGGUACUGACGCUGAGGCGCGAAAGCGUGGGGAGCGAACAGG
rnacentral:rRNA from 1 species